ACCAAAAUGGACGAGUGGUUAAGGUGUUGGACUUAAGAUUCAAUGGGUGAAAGACCACGUGGGUUCAAAUCCAAGUCCUGGUA
rnacentral:tRNA from 1 species